CAGCAGUGGGGAAUAUUGCACAAUGGGCGCAAGCCUGAUGCAGCCAUGCCGCGUGUAUGAAGAAGGCCUUCGGGUUGUAAAGUACUUUCAGCAGUGAGGAAGGUGGGUAUGUUAAUAGCAUAUUCAUUUGACGUUAGCUGCAGAAGAAGCACCGGCUAACUCCGUGCCAGCAGCCGCGGUAAUACGGAGGGUGCGAGCGUUAAUCGGAAUUACUGGGCGUAAAAGCGCAUGCAGGUGGUUUGUUAAGUCAGAUGUGAAAGCCCGGGGCUCAACCUCGGAAUUGCAUUUGAAAACUGGCAAACUAGAGUACUGUAGAGGGGGUAGAAUUUCAGGUGUAGCGGUGAAAUGCGUAGAGAUCUGAAGGAAUACCGGUGGCGAAGGCGGCCCCCUGGACAGAUACUGACACUCAGAUGCGAAAGCGUGGGGAGCAAACAGGAUUAGAUACCCUGGUAG
rnacentral:rRNA from 1 species